rnacentral:lncRNA from 1 species
UACUGUUUGCUUUUUGUUUAGAAAACUUUUUUUUAGCUGUUCAUUUAUAGUAUGUCUGCUGGUGACAGAUACUUUUAGUUUUCCCUCUCCUGAGAAUGCCUUUAUUUCCAUUUUAUUCCUGAAGGACCUGUGAUUGGGGUGGGGCUGUGGUAUUUUAAGUGGUGUUUGGCUAGAGUGGAGCGGUUAUUGCCCAAAGCUUUUCUGUCUUGCUGGGCUGCCACUGUCCAGCUCCUUAGGCUGGAGAGAGCAGGCUUUUGUUGGGGCCUUCUUGGUCUCAUUUGGAAUUUCUGAGUUCAGUUUCUUCAACUAUAUAUCUGGGAUAUACAAGACAGAAAGAAACCAGGGCACUCUCCACCAUGUUGUUCCUCCAGUCUCAAGAUCUCUAGACAGUCUGUCUUCUCUCCAUCUUUCAGAGUCUUCUUGUGCAUGUUUUUUAUAUAACAUCUACACUUUUUAGUGGCGCUUAGCAGAAGCAAUGGGACAAGUAUGUCUACUGCAGCUUUCUGGAAGAGAAGCUCCUCAUUUCUUUUUUUGGAUACAUUUCAAAAGAAGUUGCAAAUAUAUGACCCUACACAUUUCAGUAUGCAUAUCAUUAACUACAGCUCAACAUUAGUUUAUAUUUUUCUUUUUCUUGUGUGAGAUGAAAACUAUACAUACAUUGCCAUCAGGCUUUGCCCAGGCAUCAGAACUCACUAGACAGCAGAAUAUACAUCUUUGAGAGGAACCACAGAAAUGUAAUGUGCAUGCUAAGGCUUUUACCUGAACAUCAAAAUGGAAACAUCAGAGUAUUCAUAUUAGAGAGCAACCUUACAAUUAUAAUGGAUGUGGUAAGGCUUUUUAAAAAAUCAAUGUUCAAAGACAUAGAAUCAACCAAAAUGGCCAUCAGUGAUAGACUGGAUAAAGAAAACGUGGUACAUAUACACCAUGGGAUACUAUGCAGCCGUAGAAAGGAACGAGAUCAUGUCCGUUGCAGGGACAUGGAUGGAGCUGGAAGCCAUUAUCCUCAGAAAACUAACCCAGGAACAGAAAAGCAAACACCACAUGUUCUCACUCAUAAGUGGGAGCUGAACACUGAGAACACAUGGAACCAGGGAGAGGAACAACACACACUGAGGCCUGCCACUGCAGGUGGGGGUUCAGGGGAGGGAGAGCAUCAGGAAAAUAGCUAAUGCAUGUCAGGCUUAAUAAGUAGGUGAUUGGCUGAUAGGUGCAGCAAACUGCCAUGGCACACGUUUACCUAUGUAACAAACCUACAAAUACUACACAUGUACCCCAGAACUAAAAGUAAAAUAAAAGAAAACAAAUUUCAAAAAAUAAAAAGAAAAUUCUAG